AUUGAACGCUGGCGGCAGGCCUAACACAUGCAAGUCGAGCGGAUGAAGGGAGCUUGCUCCUGGAUUCAGCGGCGGACGGGUGAGUAAUGCCUAGGAAUCUGCCUGGUAGUGGGGGAUAACGUCCGGAAACGGGCGCUAAUACCUCAUACGUCCUGAGGGAGAAAGUGGGGGAUCUUCGGACCUCACGCUAUCAGAUGAGCCUAGGUCGGAUUAGCUAGUUGGUGGGGUAAAGGCCUACCAAGGCGACGAUCCGUAACUGGUCUGAGAGGAUGAUCAGUCACACUGGAACUGAGACAAGGUCCAGACUCCUACGGGAGGCAGCAGUGGGGAAUAUUGGACAAUGGGCGAAGGCCUGAUCCAGCCAUGCCGCGUGUGUGAAGAAGGUCUUCGGAUUGUAAAGCACUUUAAGUUGGGAGGAAGGGCAGUAAGUUAAUACCUUGCUGUUUUGACGUUACCAACAGAAUAAGCACCGGCUAACUUCGUG
rnacentral:rRNA from 1 species